ACCAAAACACAGCGACAGGAACGUGACGUGGGUCCUUGGACUCUGGAUUUGCACAGAGCUGGAUUUGAAUACCAGUCCUGCUACCCAUUAUUUUCAAGUUUCAGGUUCUUCCUAGUAAAACAGUGAAAGGAUGACACCUAGAAUUCAGGUGCACCUCACCUUCGAAGUUCAACGUCCCCGAGUGUGCAUGUGGGGAGAGGAGGAGGAUGGCAUCUCAAAUUGGGGUCAGGUGUCCUUCCACAGCUCUCGGGCUGGGGACUUCCUGCUUGAUGCAUUUCCAUAAGGUGGGAAGGAAAUUGAAAGGAAGAAAGCAGCUGGAAUUGUAAAGGCAGACACAUGAAGUUAAAAGAAAGUCAUUUUUUAAAAGAGAAAAAUACAUAAAUUGCUAAUGUCACAUUAUAAUUUUCACAUCAAAAUCUUAUGAAUAAUAAUUAAUUAAUAGAAAUGUUCCAUUUCAAGAAAAGUUGGAGAG
rnacentral:lncRNA from 1 species